UACGUAGGGGGCUAGCGUUGUCCGGAAUCAUUGGGCGUAAAGCGCGUGUAGGCGGUCCGGUAAGUCCGCUGUGAAAGUCCAGGGCUCAACCCUGGGAUGCCGGUCGAUACUGCCGGACUAGAGUUCGGAAGAGGCGAGUGGAAUUCCCGGUGAUAGCGGUGAAAUGCUCAGAUAUCGGGAAGAACACCCGUGGCUAAGGCGGCUCUCUAGUACGGUACUGACGCUGAGACGCGAAAGCGUGGGGAGCGAACAGG
rnacentral:rRNA from 1 species